ACGUAGGUGGCAAGCGUUGUCCGGAAUUACUGGGCGUAAAGCGUGCGCAGGCGGUUCGUUGUGUCGGCGGUGAAAGCCCCGGGCUCAACCUGGGAAUGGCCGUUGAAACUGGCGAACUGGAGUGUGGCAGAGGGGGGUAGAAUUCCGCGUGUAGCAGCGAAAUGCGUAGAGAUGCGGAGGAACACCGAUGGCGAAGGCAGCCCCCUGGGCUGACACUGACGCUCAGGCACGAAAGCGUGGGGAGCAAACAGGA
rnacentral:rRNA from 1 species